rnacentral:lncRNA from 1 species
AGCUUGGUCGCAAUGCAAAAAAUCAAUCUCUUGCUUUAAGAGCCCAACAUCAAAGGCAAGACAUGUCCGGCAGUAAUACCAAUUUUCUUUUCAAUUAAAUUUUUUAAUUUUAACUUUUUUUUUUCAUUUACAAAAAUAAGAAAUUUUGUUGUAUUUUCUCUUUAAAUAAAUUUAUUAAUUUUUAUCUUUUUUAUUUCUAAAAAUCAGCAUUUUCCAUGUAUGAUUACUCUUUAGCAUCCUGGUGCCAUGUCCCAUUAACAUAUGUCGAGC